rnacentral:rRNA from 1 species
CAGUCGCCGCGGUAAUACAGAGGGUGCGAGCGUUAAUCGGAUUUACUGGGCGUAAAGCGUGCGUAGGCGGCUUUUAAGUCGGAUGUGAAAUCCCUGAGCUUAACUUAGGAAUUGCAUUCGAUACUGGGAAGCUAGAGUAUGGGAGAGGAUGGUAGAAUUCCAGGUGUAGCGGUGAAAUGCGUAGAGAUCUGGAGGAAUACCGAUGGCGAAGGCAGCCAUCUGGCCUAAUACUGACGCUGAGGUACGAAAGCAUGGGGAGCAAACAGGAUUAGAUACCCCAGUAGUCCCUGUCUCUUAUACA